UAUUAAACUGAUAAGAACAGAUACUA
rnacentral:piRNA from 2 species